GUGCUUGAGACUAAAGUGGCUGUGAUAUUUGUCAUCCCAUUGAUCGCUGUUUGUGGUUUGGGUUAUCAGGAUGAUUAGGCAGGCUACUUCUUCCCUUAGCCCUCCAUCUACAUCCUUUCUGAAGCUGUGUGCUUAGUUAAAACGGACACCCUUCCCUGAACUGGAGAGGUCUGGUCUUUGGUUAAGUGUAUACAAGCAGAUGAGCUCCUUGCUAGAACCUUCAACCAAGUGCUUGAGAGAGAAAGAAUAGCCUUUAAAGCAAAUAGCACAGGAGCAGCUGCCACCCAGAUGC
rnacentral:snRNA from 1 species